AUGAGGACAAGGACGAGAGGAGGAGGACGAGGAGGAGAGGAGGAGGAGGACAAGGAGGAGGAGGAGGAGGAGGAGGAGGAGGAAGCAGGAGAAGGACCUUUGGUAUUAUCACAAACCUUGUUCUCUGCAGGGCUGCAUUGCAAAGCACCACAGUACAAUAAGCCCACCAGAGGAACAGGUUCUCCUAAUCGCGGGAGGACUGUGAGGGCUCCCAGUCAAACGCUGAGUUUCACCCUGUGCCGAAAGCUGGAGAGGUGCAGAGUCAUGUAAUAGCAAGCAGAGCUCUCCCUAACUAAGAAAUCUGCUGAUGAACAAAAUCUGGAUUUCAUCCCUAAGUCAACGCAACUGCUCCAACAACUUGAAUUUGGCUAGUGGGGAGGGACGUGAAUUGGUCCCAUGUCUCCAGACUUGCUUUGCUUGGCCUUGGACCUUUGUGGCUGGCAGAAAGGCAAAAGGUAAACACAGAAAAUGUCUUCACCAGAAUUAGCAGCUUCCACGGUAAGUAUUUCUUUGGGGUAUCUGGGUUGCAGCUGUACAUUACUGUAUGUAGGAGAGAAAAGUUAAAAC
rnacentral:lncRNA from 1 species